CACAUUUGUAUUUUUUAUUUCUCUCUCUUUCCUCUCUCUACCCACACACACCACCUCUCUCCCUCUCCUCUCUCUACCCACACCACCAGCCCACCGCCCCACCAGCCCAGACCCUUAACCCACCACCUUACGACCACCGCCAAUCCACCGUCGGCAACGCAGUUGCAAGUGGAUGAGUGAAGAAAUCUUCAUAUCCCUGUUGAAGAUGCCUUCUAUGAUUGAAGAUGGGGAGUUUUAUUGGCUAUUUAUUGAUACUCCGCAUCUUCGUGGAGAAUCAAUUUCUUUAGUUGACUUUAACUAGUUGGGGACUGAGAAGUAGUUGAUCCAAGUUGAUGCGGGCGAUAACAGUUGCAUUUUUGUCAGCGGUCAGUGAUAUAGUGUCUCAGAAGAUUACUGGCAUUAAGAGACUUCAAAUUAGACGCCUUCUUCUUUGGAUAAUUUAUAAUAAGUAUCUGGAAAAGAAAUUCCAUAUUCAUCUUGUAGUCACUUAUCACAUCCUUUCUUUUUUCCCGUUAAUAGAUUAUUUUCAUUCUUGAUCAAUGAUGAUGGCGCAGUUGAUCCUAAGGAGUAUGAAGCUAUGAAGCAUCAAGUUGCUCAGCUAACAAGAACACUUAAUUCCUCGGAGGCUAGGAUGUUGGGUAUGCAAGCCCAAAUUAAUAGUUUAUGAUGGAUAUGUUUAAAUGGAUAUGUAUAUUAUCUUUAAGGGUUUGAAUGUAGUUUUAGUUCGAAUUAGAA